rnacentral:lncRNA from 1 species
GAUACUGUAUUAAAUUUGAUAAAAUUAUUUUUGUAUUUAAUAUUAUAAAAAAUUAAUGAAAAAAUGCAAUAUUUGGCCAUCCUGUAUUUAUAUAAUUGGACUGGUAAGUGCUUAAUGUAUAGUCUUAGCACCAGGAUAGUCUGAGACAGGAUUAUCAUGGCUUUAAAGCUAACUUUGGGGGCCACUUAGCUAGGUGCCUUAGCAAACUAUGAAACAGUUGUCUUUAUCUGCAUUUGAAGUUUAAGGAAAGAAAUUUAGUGAAGAACAUAAACCUAGGGUAAGGUGAGAAAAAAAAAAUCAUGUUUUCAAAUCAUCAUUUUGUUUCUCGGGAAAUGUUCUUUUCAUGAAAAUAUUUGUAUAGCAUAUAUUCCUGCCUUUGAGUAAAGUAUAAGCAAUAAAAGAUGAAUGAGCCAGGCAGUACACAUUCUGAAUGUAGAGACAUAAAAACAAAGUAUUCUCAAUGCUAUUGCUGGUGUUUUUGGUAUAAAAUAAGGUAGGAUAACACAACAAACAUAAAAAAUUUUAUAAAAUUUGAAAACUUCUGCACAGACAUGGAUGCAAAAAAAAGCAUGAAAAAUAAUCCACAAUGAGUAUUUUGCCUGAUAUUCCUCAGAGAACUAAUAUCUGAAAAAAAUAGGCAAGUUAAAUGAAUAACACUUCUCAGACUACGUACAAAUUGCUAAUAAAUACCUGAAAAAAAGUUGAGCAUUUCUGUCCAAUAGAGAAAGGCCAGUUGGAACAUAAACUCAUUCCAGAAAGAUCACAUCACCAAAAACGAAAAAAUGUUUCAUGAGGCUGCAGGGGAAAAGGAAACAUUCAACAUUGGUGGGAUAAAUAGUUCAGCUACUACAGAAGUCAGUGUAUAGAGUAUUCAGAAAACUAAAAGUAAUGCAUUCAGUGUAGUGCUUCCUUUUGUGAAUGUCUUCCCCAAAGAAUUAAAGACAUCAUGUUUCAGUGAUCCAUGCAUAUUCCUGUUUACAGCAGCAAUACUCUUUUUCUAUUGGACAGCAGGGGUGAGUCCUGCUCUGUCAGCCACCAGAUACCAAGGAUAAACAACAAGUACCCCUCAGUGUACUCUGCUAAAAAUUAUAUGUGAUAUUUUAUUAUGAAAUGAGCUGUAUAUUAGAAUAUUCUUCCUGACUACAGGUCAAUAUAAGCAUGAUAAGCAUGUUAAUGUUGCAAGGGGAUCACUUACAUUCAUUAGAUUUGGUAUAUUAAAUGCAUAUUCAGUACAUUUUUCAGCUUUUGUGUUGAUCAAAUAUUUCCACUUUGUACCUCAAGGAACUGUAACCACUUCAAGUUUAUUGAGGUGGAGAUGUGCAUAACACCAAGUUCAUUAUAUUCUCUCCUGGUUCAUUGUUGUUCGUGUACUGCAAUGAAACAUAUGUAUACAUGUGUAUAUAAGAAUUUCUUUUUUUACUUUCCUUAUAACAGAUUAAAAACUUUUUUAAGAUUCUUAAAAUUUCUUUGUAUAAUUGGAGGCUGAAUACUCAUAUAACUCCCCAGGGUUAAACCUGGGGAAACACUGCUCAAAUGAAGCUGGAAGCUUAAGAAGAAGAACCAACCACAAUCAACCACAGCCCAAGAGGGAAGACUUUGAAGCCCCAUAAAGACCACCUAAUGAAGGUCCAUGUUCAAAAACUGAACACUAAUGACUACACCAAACAUCACACCUGUUUAAGAUAAUUCAAAUGAAUCACAUCUUCAAGAUGAAGGCAAACUGGAGGCUACAGCGAAAGAGGAAUCAAUCUCCUUUGGAGCUUUCUCAGCAGCAGUCUUCCCAUAGGUGGCCUCCAGCUGGAGAGAACACCAACAGAGUGAGUGUGAACAGUGCAAAGCUGGAGAGUGCUGAAGGCUAGAGACUCAUAUGCAGAAGCCAUGCAGAAGGCAGAAGCCACAGCCAUUGAGUGCCUAACUCCUUUCUGAGGAUCUGGUUCACCAUGGCACACCAUUUCUGCAGUCAAUCUUGCCCUCUACAUUGGGAACAUGUUUAACUGUCUGAAUGUGGAUGUUUCUUUUGAUCUUGGAUGAAGCAGUUGCUACUGCAGGAUACAUGGCCAAGGACUACAUUUUGGAGUUCCAAGUUUUGCUCUGGACUGGAAAAAAAUAGAAAGCAAAAUAUAUACUUUUGUUAUA